GCACUACCGAGAAGUCCCACAAUAGGACGAAACGGCCGUCCAGUGU
rnacentral:hammerhead_ribozyme from 1 species